UAUGGUGAAGUAUUGUAUUAGUACGUAGGUUUUUGGUUCCUAAUGAGCGCAUAAAGCGUCACCGUAA
rnacentral:tRNA from 1 species